GACGAACGCUGGCGGCGUGCUUAACACAUGCAAGUCGAACGGUGACGAGGAGCUUGCUCCUCCGAUCAGUGGCGAACGGGUGAGUAACACGUGAGUAACCUGCCCCAGACCCUGGGAUAACAGUUGGAAACAGCUGCUAAUACCGGAUACGAGACGGAGAGGCAUCUCUACCGUCUGGAAAGAUUUAUCGGUCUGGGAUGGACUCGCGGCCUAUCAGCUUGUUGGUGAGGUAAAGGCUCACCAAGGCGACGACGGGUAGCCGGCCUGAGAGGGCGACCGGCCACACUGGGACUGAGACACGGCCCAGACUCCUACGGGAGGCAGCAGUGGGGAAUAUUGCACAAUGGGCGAAAGCCUGAUGCAGCGACGCCGCGUGAGGGAUGACGGCCUUCGGGUUGUAAACCUCUUUCAGCAGGGAAGAAGCGAAAGUGACGGUACCUGCAGAAGAAGCACCGGCUAACUACGUG
rnacentral:rRNA from 1 species